UACGUAGGGGGCUAGCGUUGUCCGGAAUCAUUGGGCGUAAAGCGCGUGUAGGCGGCCCGGUAAGUCCGCUGUGAAAGUCGGGGGCUCAACCCUCGGAUGCCGGUGGAUACUGUCGGGCUUGAGUGCGGAAGAGGCGAGUGGAAUUCCUGGUGCAGCGGUGAAAUGCGCAGAUAUCAGGAGGAACACCAAUUGCGAAGGCAGCUCGCUGGGACGUUACUGACGCUGAGACGCGAAAGCGUGGGGAGCAAACAGG
rnacentral:rRNA from 1 species